rnacentral:lncRNA from 1 species
GCUUUCCCUCCUAAUCUCCUUUGCUGUUUCACUGGGUUGCAACUCCAGAUUUCCGUCACCUGAUACCCACAGCACAGCCUGCCAAAGGUCUUCUCAAAACGUGGCCUAUGCUUGACCAUGGACAGGGCUACUCAUCCACUCCCUAAGACCUCUUUAAACUCGGCAAAUUAAAACAAAAGCUGCUGGAAGGUUCCUUUGGGGCGUGCGGAGUCGCCUUGGCCUUGGCACUUCCUGUGGAGUUGUAAAGUGCUCCCCAGGACCAAGGAGUGUUCAGUGUAGAAGUCAUCCUAAUCAGCUGCCUGUUGUUUCGCCCGCAGGUCCCGGAGACGCGAUUGUUCUUCCAGUAACUUUGUUGCGAGGCGGAGGGGAGGGGAGACGCCGAGGGGCCCCCGGAGAGGCUGGAAAGCGCCGAGGAUCUGGAGGCCGGGCUGGGGACCGAGUCCCCGGGCGGCCUCGCGCUGGGCGCGCGGCUGGGAGGUGUCGCCACCGCCGGGAUGCGCUCGGCUUAGCGGGACUGCCGGGGGCGCCAGAAGGCCACCACUCCGAGGACGCGCAGCCCCCGCUGCUCGCGCUCCCCGGGCCGGCGCUGCCGGUGCCCGAGCCAAGCAGCGAGCAGAGCUGCGGGGCGCGCUGGCGAAGGCUGGCGGGAGGGAGGGCGCGCAAGAGGCGGCCCCUCCUCGGCGAGCCAUGCGUGCCGCGGGCAGCUAAGCCGCCGCCGGGCGCCGCUGCCAAGUCUGCGCUCCGCUUUUGUCUU